GCAGCAGUGAGGAAUAUUGGACAAUGGAUGGAAAUCUGAUCCAGCCAUGCCGCGUGCAGGAAGACAGCCCUAUGGGUUUUAAACUGCUUUUGUAUGGGAGCAAUAAGGUCUAUGCGUAGAUCGAUGAGAGUACCAUACGAAUAAGGAUCGGCUAACUCCGUGCCAGCAGCCGCGGUAAUACGGAGGAUCCGAGCGUUAUCCGGAUUUAUUGGGUUUAAAGGGUGCGUAGGCGGUUGAAUAAGUCAGCGGUGAAAUUUUCAGGCUUAACCUGGAGACUGCCGUUGAUACUGUUUAGCUGGAAUAUGGUUGCUGUGGGUGGAAUGUGUGGUGUAGCGGUGAAAUGCAUAGAUAUCACACAGAAUAUCGAUUGCGAAGGCAGCUCACAAAGCCAUUAUUGACGCUGAUGCACGAAAGUGUGGGGAUCAAACAGGAUUAGAUACCCUGGUAGUCCACACUGUAAACGAUGAUAACUCGCUGUCGGCGAUAUACAGUCGGUAGCCAAGCGAAAGCGAUAAGUUAUCCACCUGGGGAGUACGACCGCAAGGUUGAAACUCAAG
rnacentral:rRNA from 1 species